rnacentral:tRNA from 1 species
GAGGGCAUAGCUCAGUGGUAAAGCACAUGCUUAGCAUGCACAGGGUUCUGGAUUCAAUCCCCAGUACCUCCA